UAAUACAGAGGGUGCAAGCGUUAAUCGGAAUUACUGGGCGUAAAGGGUGUGUAGGUGGUUUGAUAAGUUAGGUGUGAAAGUCCUGGGCUUAACCUGGGAAUUGCGCCUAAUACUGUCGAGCUAGAGUACUGUAGAGGAAGGUGGAAUUUCCGGUGUAGCGGUGAAAUGCGUAGAUAUCGGAAGGAACAUCAGUGGCGAAGGCGACCUUCUGGACAGAUACUGACACUGAGACACGAAAGCAUGGGUAGCAAACAGGAUUAGAUACCCUGGUAGUCCAUGCUGUAAACGAUGAGAACUGGCUGUUGGGCGCCGUGAGGCGCUUAGUAGCGAAGCUAACGCGUUAAGUUCUCCGCCUGGGGAGUACGGCCGCAAGGCUA
rnacentral:rRNA from 1 species